rnacentral:rRNA from 1 species
ACCACCCUGUACACUCCUGAUCUUGUCUGAUCUCAGAAGCCAAGCAGGGUAGGGCCUCGUUAGUACUUGGAUGGGAG